CAAGCACCAGCUCUGAGGUUACCCCUCACCAGCAUUAUAUGCACCAUUGGACCCUCAUCCAGCCAGCCCGAAGUUCUCCUCAAUCUCAUUCAUGCUGGGAUGAAGGUGGUCCGAUUGGACUUCUCUCACGGCACCCACGAAUGCCAUUGCCAGGCCAUCCAGGCGGCACGUAAAGCCAUCGCCAUGUAUGUGGAGGAAACGGGUCUUCCCAGAACCGUGGCCAUUGCCCUGGACACCAAGGGUCCGGCAGUCAAUCCACAGGGUGCAGCUGUUGAUUUAAACGCCAUAACCGAGCAAGACAAACUGGAUCUCAAGUUUGGGGCGGAUCAGAAGGUGGACAUGAUCUUCGCGUCGUUCAUCCGCGAUGCCAAAGCUUUGCAAGAAAUUCGCCAGGCACUGGGUCCAUCAAGUGAGCACAUAAAGAUCAUUUCCAAGAUCGAAAGUCAACUGGCUCUGGCGAACAUAGAUGAGAUAAUCCGCGAAUCCGAUGGCAUAAUGGUGGCCCUUGGGAAUAUGGGCAACGAAAUAGCACUGGAGGCUGUACCGCUGGCCCAGAAAUCGAUCGUGGCCAAGUGCAACAAAGUUGGAAAGCCUGUGAUCUGUGCCAAUCAAAUGAUGAAUUCGAUGAUAACCAAGCCACGUCCCACACGCGCGGAAUCUUCUGAUGUGGCAAACGCAAUCUUCGAUGGUUGUGAUGCCCUUGUGUUGUCUGAUGAAACGGCCAAGGGUAAGUACCCGGUGCAAUGUGUGCAGUGCAUGGCCAGAAUCUGCGCCAAGGUGGAGUCGGUUUUAUGGUACGAGAGCCUUCAGAACAACCUUAAGAGCGAAGUCCGGAUCAACGCCGUCGAUCACAUCUCGGCGGUAAGCACGGCAAUUGCAGAAGCGGCUACGGUGAGUCAGGCUCAGGCAAUAGUGGUGGCCAGUCCGUGCUCCAUUGUGCCCCAGAUGGUCAGUCAAAUGAGGCCGCCGUGUCCCAUAGUUUUGCUCACUGGCUGCCCACAUGAGGCCGCUCACUCCUUGCUCUUUCGUGGCGUUUACCCACUCCUUGUCAAGGAAAUGGUUUAUGGCAGCGUAAACUACUGUCGCAUCAUGCAAGCGGGCUUAAAGAUAUUGGCCAAGUUGGACAUCCUGGAGCCAGGUCGAAGGGGAACUUUAGUGCUGGUCAAUGCUAUGUCGGCAGACAAGCUCACCUUCCGGCUGUUCACUUAUGCACAGCCAACUGAGAAAGAGCGAGAAGAAGAACGCUGCCGAAAGUUGGCCAGGAAGCAGCGAUGCAAGGAAAUGAGCAGUCAGUCUGAAAUAUCUAUAAAGUCCGAUAAAAAGGAUGGUACGAGUUCAAAGAAAGAAUUUCCUAAGAUCGAAGAAGUUUCGAAAUGUUUACAGCUAGAAGAUCAAAUUCAGCAGAAACGAGGUGAAGAUUUUGUAGUGAGCAAAGAAAAGGAAAAUCUCGGUUCAAAAAAAUCAAAAGAAUGUCCCAAGAAGGACAACAUGGUCUUGAAGUGCUUACAGCUGAAGAGGGAAAGACAAGCUCAAAUGGAAGCUAAGUUGAAAAAGACGGAAGAACUUAAAAAGAAGAAAGAAGAAGAUAAAGCCUCGAAGUCCGAUAAAAAGGAUUAUCCUAGUUCAAAGAAAGAACGUCCUAACCACAAAGAAAUCUGGAAAUGUUUACAGCUACAAAAACAGAGUGAGCAGAAGCGGAGUGAAGAUUUUGUAAUGGCCGAAGAAAAGGAAUAUCUAUGUUCAAAAAAAUCAAAAGAGUGUCCCAAUAAGGACGACGAGGUCUUGAAGUGCUUACAGCUGAAAAAAGAAAGACAAGAUCGAGCAAAAGCUGAGAUGAAACAGAAGGCAGAACUUAAAAAGAAGAAUAGUUUAAGCCAUAAGAAAGGAGACAAUAAAGCACCAAAAUGCAACAAACUUAAAAAACAAAGUCAAAAGAAUGCGUGCAGAGUAGUAAAAAUUUCGAGGACAUCCGAAGAGGAUAAUUAUAUACCGAAGAAAGAAUUUCCUAGGGAAGACAAUAAGAUCUUCAAUAUAGAAAAAGUUCGAAAGGCUCAGCCAAAAACUGUAGUCAAACACAGUAAAGAGUUGGAAAAGUCCUGGAAUAUUGUACUCGAAAACUGCAAGACCGAUAAACGCAAAAACUGCAAGACAGGAAAUCGAGAAAACUGUAAGACAGUAAAACUUGAAAACUGCAAAAUAACAAAUCUUAAGAAGCGCAAAACGAUCAAGCUCGAGAAUUGUAAGCAGCCGCGAAGAGUUAGGAAAAGAACUAAUCUUACUAAAAAGGCGUAAAGUUUUUUGUGUCAAGGAUGUAAUAAUGGCGUAAGAAACGUUCUCUUUUUAUUUAUCGCAAAUUAAUAAAGGCGUGUUCACAAUACAAAUCGUAAAAGGUAAAAAGAUAAAGCAAUUAUCAACGAAAAGAAAACAAAAGUCAAAGCAGAGCUGGAAAAAUACAAAAUAAAACAGUGAAAAAGAAAGGCAAUUGGUUUGAGAACUUAAUUAGCCAAAGUUGGUUGCGACAAGUUUAGUUUCGAGUUUUUGUUUUUUAAUUUAGCUGGAAAUAUGGAAUAAACAAAGCUUUGGCGACAAAUUUCACCGAACAAAAAAAGCGGAAAAUGCCUGAAUCAAACAAUAACAUAAAAAGGGUACAAAACGCAGUGAAAACAAUUAAAAAUGCCAACAGAGCAGUGCAAAAGUCAAACAAAGAAGCCAAAAGCACACACUCACACACACAUAGUACCCAUACAAAGUUUCACAGAUAUGAAGUGAGUGGUAUACAAUAAUAAUUGCUAUAUAGCGAACCGACUUAGCCGGGGAAGUUAAACCAAAAAAAAAAGAGCCCGCAUGGAAAUGCCACAAGUUGAAUAAUAUGGUAUAUAAAGCAACUAGAGGGGUGUGCUUUCAACCGAGUCAAGAGCGUGCAUAAUCAAUCCGAAAUG